rnacentral:rRNA from 1 species
GAUAAAGCUACUAAGAGCAUACGGAGGAUGCCUUGGUACAUGGAGGCGAUGAAGGACGUGGUAAGCUGCGAUAAGCUUCGGGUAGGUGCACACAACUGUUAAUCCGGAGAUUUCCGAAU